UUCAUUUUAUUUAUUUCAAGGCAAAUCCAUAGUCCAGGGGGGUAUUCCAGAAAGGAGGUUUAACAAACUCUGAGUCUAUCCCUGAACUCCGAGUUGACUUACUCUGAGACGGGAAACUCUGAGUAUCCGGUUCCAGAACAGCUGAUCUGCGUUAGUUAAAUAGACUCGGAGUAUGUUCACCUUGAGUUAAGCGCGUGCAUGACGAUUAUAACUAGAAAAGGCAUUUCCUGCUGAAAAUGCGUUGGAAUGCAAAAAGCUGAAAGCUGCACUGAAUAUUUAAAAAUAGCUGAAAAUACAGAAAGUUGAAGGGAAUUUGAAUACAUUUGCUGAAUAUUUAAAAAUAGCUGAAAAUACAGAAAGUUGAAGGGAAUUUGAAUACAUUUGCUGAAAUAAAAGAUAUUAGAAAAGCUGAAAUUAAUUUGAAAUAGCUGAAAAUACAGAAAUGGGAGAAGCUGAAAGGAAAUUCAAUAGAUUUGCUGAAAAAGCAGAAAUGAAAACAGCUGAAAUAAAUGUGAAAUAUUGCAAAACAGAAGUUGCAGGAGCUUAAAUGAAUUUUAAAAAGUACAGAAAUAACAUAAGCUGAGAUGAAUAAAAAGAGGUUUAAAAUUGUUUGUAGUAAUGUUAGUUGUAAUUUGGGUAUUAGUACUAGCAGUAGAAGUCGGUUUAGUAUCAAUAGCAGUAGAAACAGCUGGAAUACUGAUACUAUUAGCCAUAGUAGUAUUUUUAAUAACAUUAGUAGUAGUUGUAUUAAUAGCAGUAGAAAUACUAGUAGUAUGGUAGUAGAAGUAUCAGUUGUAGUUCUACUAGAAGUACUAGUAAUAUUCGUAGUGGUUAUAGUAGUAUUUGAAAGAGCAAUGCGUAUUUCAACGAAACCGCUUCAUGGUUAAGGUACAGAUAAUCAUUGAGGCUUUUAGUUUGUAAUGAUGGAAUUCGGGUGAGGGGGGGUUGGGAGACAGAAUGUUUGCUAUUCCAACUAAGAAGCUGUUAAUUAAUAGGCCUCAUCAC
ensembl:lncRNA